AUUGAACGCUGGCGGAAUGCUUUACACAUGCAAGUCGAACGGCAGCACGGACUUCGGUCUGGUGGCGAGUGGCGAACGGGUGAGUAAUGUAUCGGAACGUGCCCAGUCGUGGGGGAUAACGUAGUGAAAAUUACGCUAAUACCGCAUACGAUCUAUGGAUGAAAGCGGGGGAUCGCAAGACCUCGCGCGAUUGGAGCGGCCGAUAUCAGAUUAGGUAGUUGGUGUGGUAAAGGCGCACCAAGCCAACGAUCUGUAGCUGGUCUGAGAGGACGACCAGCCACACUGGAACUGAGACACGGUCCAGACUCCUACGGGAGGCAGCAGUGGGGAAUUUUGGACAAUGGGCGAAAGCCUGAUCCAGCCAUUCCGCGUGCAGGAUGAAGGCCCUCGGGUUGUAAACUGCUUUUGUACAGAACGAAAAGGUUUCUACUAAUACUAGGAGCUCAUGACGGUACUGUAAGAAUAAGCACCGGCUAACUACGUGCCAGCCGCCGCGGUAA
rnacentral:rRNA from 1 species